rnacentral:lncRNA from 1 species
CAGGGGAUGGGUUGAGGGUCUGUUGUCCAGCAGGUUGCCCGGGCCCCACCCAGGCCACUCAGAAAACACCUGUGAGAGCCCCGCAGGCAUGCAGGGCACUGUCGUGAGCACACCAGUGGGGACAGACGUCCAGGCAGGAGGGAGCAGCCAGAGCCCCAUCCCGCCAGGGUCACCAGGCAUGCGAGGAAGCAGGAAAAGGAAAAUGCACCCAGAAGAGAAGGAGCACCCAUCAACGGGGCCGCCUCAGAAGCAACAGACGACCGGGCAAGUCCAAGGGCACCGAGGCACCUGCCACCGCUGCGCCCAGCACUCCCGAAGCCAGAGGCAGAUUGAGGUUCAGAGAAGUCAGAAGACUUCCCAAGGCUGCACAACGUCCUGGGGUGAGGCCUCACACCAUCUGCACCACCUGCCCUCCAGGUCCCACCAUCCUCACAAAUUCAAGGCAAGGUUCUGGAACCCCCAGCCCUCCAGAAAGGGGAAGCUGAGCCCAGGAGGCACAUCUGAGAGUUCGGCCACCUGCACGGCCACCCCAGUGUGAUUCCUCAUCAGCCACACAGAAGACAGAUGGUCCAUAGGAGACUCAGAAACAGAGAAGCCUCACGCCAGGUCCACAGAGGCACCCACGCCCGCCAAAAGGAUGCCACACACUCACCCUGCCCUCUGGGGAGCACAGUGGGAGUCCAGGACACCGCCUUGGAUGGGGUGAGGCUCCGUCUGUGACCUCAGAAAGUCAGUCUGGGGCUGGACUUGACAUGGGAAACAGAAUAAAACUGCCUGUCC